rnacentral:misc_RNA from 1 species
GAUGAAGAACGCAGCGAAAUGCGAUAAGUAAUGUGAAUUGCAGAAUUCAGUGAAUCAUCGAAUCUUUGAACGCACAUUGCGCCCGCUGGUAUUCCGGCGGGCAUGCCUGUUCGAGCGUCAUUUCAACCCUCAAGCUCUCCGGAGUUUGGUGUUGGGGCGCCUGGGGCUUUUCGACCUCAGGGCCCUCAAGUCCAUCGGCGGGACCGCCAGGACACUGAGCGCAGUAGUAUUAUUUCGCUCGGUAGGAUCUUCCACGGCGGGUCGAUCUGGCCGCUAAACCCCCCAAUUCUCACCAAAGGUUGACCUCGGAUCAGGUAGGAAUACCCGCUGAGCUUAAGCAUAUCAAUAAGCGGAGGA